rnacentral:rRNA from 1 species
CCUACGGGUGGCUGCAGUGGGGAAUAUUGGACAAUGGGGGGAACCCUGAUCCAGCCAUGCCGCGUGUGUGAAGAAGGCCCUCGGGUUGUAAAGCACUUUCAGUGAGGAAGAACGCCUGGUGGUUAAUACCCAUCAGGAAAGACAUCACUCACAGAAGAAGCACCGGCUAACUCCGUGCCAGCAGCCGCGGUAAUUCGGAGGGUGCGAGCGUUAAUCGGAAUUACUGGGCGUAAAGCGCGCGUAGGUGGCUUGAUAAGCCGGUUGUGAAAGCCCCGGGCUCAACCUGGGAACGGCAUCCGGAACUGUCAAGCUAGAGUGCAGGAGAGGAAGGUAGAAUUCCCGGUGUAGCGGUGAAAUGCGUAGAGAUCGGGAGGAAUACCAGUGGCGAAGGCGGCCUUCUGGACUGACACUGACACUGAGGUGCGAAAGCGUGGGUAGCAAACAGGAUUAGAUACCCUGGUAGUC